rnacentral:misc_RNA from 1 species
GAUUCUCUUGUUUAUUUUCUUCCCAUUUUAAACUGCAUGACUUAAAUGUGUAUAUAUUCUUCCUUCUUUGGUCUUACAGUCACAAAUGGUUUCAGAGGAUGAAGAGAAGCGCUAGAUAUUGUUCUUCUGUUGUUUAUUUCACUUAAGGUUCACAAAGCUUGGUCUGCUCACACUAAUAUGUUUUCAUGUGCAUGACUUCUCGUGUUUAUGCAUAUAUAUAUAUAUAUAUAUAUGUGCGUUAGAGUACCUGUUUAACUACUUAUAAACAAACACAACUACUAAGUUGGUCUAGAAGUACACACGAACCAUUAUCUAUACACACAGCUAUAACUACAGAACAGUGUGAUGGAGUAAACUUCCCGCACCUAAGCAUAACAACAGAAUUAAUAGACACAGUGAACUGCAGACGAAUUCACGCUGGAAACCAGCACAAUUAGAUGGAGCCAGCUACCACAAUCGAUUCCUCUCCACUAAAAUAUCCUUAGAACAAGGUGAUGGAAAAAAACUACCAUCAAAUCUUCUAUGUAACCAUGAAAUAUGAAAUGAAGUGAUUUGCCACUGUGAAAACCUCCCUACAAGCAAGUUUCAAAGUGUGAUGGAGUGUUUGCUUCUCUGGCGGUCGCGGUGAUGAAAAUGAAUGCCGCUCUAUGUUAAACAACAGGAGCGAAAUACCAACAACAAUACUACUAGAAAUACUAUGAUUAAUGCCACGGCUGGAAAAGUUGUUCAUUCAAACUCGAAACAUCAACAAAAGCAGCCCCUGCAACACCACCACCACCAACAACAACAACAGCAACAACACCGUUGCAGAGCUGCUCAUGUCAAACAAGCUUUUAAACACGAACCUUCUUACCCCUUCCUUCUGUCACCUCCUUCCAGAUACUGUGAGAACAUUUUCAGGAGGUUGAUGUCCCUGUGCUUUAUUCUACUGGUGGUGUUGGUGAGGAAAUCAGCAUGUAAUUUUAUCAACCAGGUGGCUGUACAUAUCGAGGGUGGAGUGCAGAAUGCAGAUAGGAUUGCCAAAGAACAUGGAUUUAAAAAUUUAGGCCAAGUAAGUAAAAGUGAUGUUGAUUAUUUUUUGUUUUGACUCUGGCUCAGCAUUUGU